GUGCCAGCAGCCGCGGUAAUACGGAGGAUGCAAGCGUUAUCCGGAAUGAUUGGGCGUAAAGGGUCCGCAGGUGGUUUGUCAAGUCUGCUGUCAAAGAAUUAGGCUUAACCUAAUCAAGGCGGUGGAAACUGAGAGACUAGAGUGCAUACGGGGCAGAAGGAAUUCCUGGUGUAGCGGUGAAAUGCGUAGAGAUCAGGAAGAACACCGGUGGCGAAAGCGUUCUGCUAGGCUGCAACUGACACUGAGGGACGAAAGCUAGGGGAGCGAAUGGGAUUAGAUACCCCUGUAGUCC
rnacentral:rRNA from 1 species